CGAACAGACAACAGAGUUUUCUGUGCGCAUUCAGGCCGAGGCGAUUAAACGCCUUUGGGGGCCCCGUACGAAGAGGUGCAUGCUCGUGUUUUAUCCCUUUGAUUCACCUGUUCCCAAAUUUUCAUGUGCGAGUAUCCUCUCUUAAACAGCUGAAUUAGUCAGUAUUUGGCCCAGACGCCUAAAUUUUUAACAAGCUUUAGACAUGCUCUAAAGCAUGAUUUUUAAAAAAUUGACACAUACCUCGUCCUCAAAUUAUUUAAAAACCAGUCCCGCAUUUCUACCCAUUAGCUGUUUUCCUAGCAUUUUAACUGUGCAGUGGCUCGAACGCUCAGAGCAGGGUGUUGGUUCAUGAGGGCACACUCACCAUUUCAGACGCCUCAAAGGGAUUCAAACAUGUAAACACGCCAUGAGGAAGCUCAUAGGAGGUGACCAGUAGUAGGUGACAAUCUUGGACAAUUUUCUGGCGGACAGAAAGCGGUUUGGGGAGAGGUCCUGGAAGAAGCAGGAUGGGGAGCCAGGGCCUGGGAGGUCAUUCAUUGGCCCUGAGGAAGCGUGAGGAGCCUCAAGAAUCUGGACCUCCAGGUCGGCUGAAGAGCAGGAGGGAAGGCUGAGCUGAAAAGCAGGACGGCUGAGGUCUGUGUGCUGCAGGUCACGACACCCUCAGACCCCGUAGUGGCGGAUGCCCAGCGGUGAGAUCAGCCCCUGGGGCCGAGCAGGGAAGGAUGUCGCCUCUCGGAAUUGCAUGGGGACAGCUGGCAUGGGCGCUGGCGUCCAAAUCAAGGACCUCAGCAUCCCGAGAGGUAGGAGUUCGCCAGCCUCAGGACCAGCUCGUCACCCAGAGAUUCUUCCGGCAUCCACGCACACGUGCCUGCGUGUUUAGGUUUUUGCCGCCUCAUUCCUAAAUGUGAAAAGACAGCUAAAGCUCAGCGGAUAUUGGAGGAAAACCUGAAGUGUGAGAAAGAAAAACUAAGGUAAACAUACUUUUUAAGUGCCUGUAAACGCACAGGUGGUUUGCAAAUGAAACAAAAACUCAAACUAUGUGGGGAUUUUGGUGGAUGCUUCCGCCACCUCCUCAGACAUACUGGCAUACUCUGUUCACUUUUCUUAAAAACAAGGAUCCGACACCCUGUACGAGCAACAAGAAGUAUCUUUUAAAAUACGCACAACGAAAGAUUUCAAAUGCAGGGCUACUAAAGUUGAGGAAAAUUCCUAGAGUGUAGGAAAAAAAUGACCUAUAUCAUUUUAUAACAUGUAGCCUAAGAGAAUAAGCACGUCCUUGAAAUUCCUUUAUAUUUUUUAAUUUACUAUUUUUUUUUUUUUGGCCAUGCCAGUGGCAUGUGGACGUUCCCAGGCCAGGGAUCGAACUGGCACCACAGCAGCAGCAGGAGCCGCUGCAGUGGCAAUGCCCGAUCCUUAACCCGUUGCGCCACAAGGCAACUCCUCCUUUAAGUGUUUUCGUAUUUUCAGAUAAAAACUUUGAGAGUCACCAGAAUAUGAUAUUCAGUAAUUCACACACCAGUGAAUCGUCUUUUAUUCAUUCAUUAUCUUGUACUGAUCAAGCACCUGCUGCUCAUCUGCCAUCACUCUAAGCACCAAGCAAUGAUCUCCACAGUGAUCGAAGCCCACGGUGUUCCGUGUCCACGGAGCUCAUGCUUUAGUUGGGAAAGACAGACGAUAAAACCUAAAAAUCUGUAGAAGGAUAGAUUGUCCUAAGUGCUUCGGAAAAAAAUAAAGCAGGUAUAGGAAGAUGCUGCUGGCUGAGGGGCUACAGUUUUAAAAUGAAUUUUCAAGAAAGACCUCAUUGAGAAGCUGAUGUUGGAGCUAAAAGCUGAAGGAUAUGAUUUUUCUGGUGGCCGUCUUCACCAGGCUCCUUAUCCACCCGUGUCUCACAGGGCUUGUCGUUCCCCGUUGAGUUUCUCGACCAUUUCCUGCAUUUUGCAGUACAAUCCUCCUUCUACUCUGAGAUUUAUUCCUGACACCCAUUCCCAUCCUUCUAUGACGUAUUAAUCCAUCUCCUGUGUUUGUCAAGAACUUUGGCACCUGUUAUUCCAAGGGCUUUUAUUUUUCACCAGGACCUCCUGUGGUUCACACAGCUCUGAAAGUUCACAGUUCUUAGGGUGACCUGCUGGGGGGCUCCCUCUCAUUCCCAGCACUCCUCUAUCUUUGGACUGCAAGAUUCUACUCUCCUUACCUCUAGGCGUGACCUCUGCUAUUUCCAGCUUCCCCUCCUCUACCUGGCGAUCUUACUCUCCAGUUUCUUAACUGCUUAUACGCCGAGUCUCUCCUUCCCCUUCCGCCUUAACUGCAUUUUCUGUUACUGCUUCAGUCUUCCUUUGUGUUCUCCGCUCCUUUGUCUCUGUCUCCCCCUCUUUCCUCCCUCCCUCCCUCCCUCCUUUCCUUCCUUUCUUCCACUUCAUCUUUUUAUCAGUCAUCCCUCCAUCCAUCCAUCCAUCCAUCCCUCCAUCCAUCCAUCCAUCUAUCUUCUUGAAACCCACUCCCUGCGUCAGAAACUUGGCUAGCUCUACACCAAAACCCCCGCUUUCUUCUCUUCCAGGCACACAGGCAUCCAGUUAGGUCUUGGCACGUGUCUGAGGUCUAACCAGCAGGCUGCGAUUAGAAAUGAUGUGUGCCCUUUCUAGGCCUGGUUUAUAUAACCCCCUGGCAUGACUCUCUGCCUUCUCCCCACUCCCAUCCGCCGGUUGGAUGACAGCCCUCAGUGUUCUUGGAAGUUACGUGCUGAAGAGGGUGAGCCUUCACUAGCCUCAUCUCCUAAACGACUUCAUGGAUAAGUCCCUACUGUCUGAAUAAUUUUAAGUGAAUGUGAAAUAAGCUUCUGUUGCUAAGCCAUUGAAAUUCCUGUCAGUCUGUUAUACCAGGUAGUGUUAUCACAACCAAAGACAGAUCCACGCCUCUGUCUUUUUAAUUUCCUUCCCCGUACUUGACCCGCCACCGAGUGGUUCCUGGAGAAACGCGCGCCAUGGUGUGGACUUGUCCCAGAUCUGCCACCUUCAGCUUUACCUGGGUUGUCAGUUGUGCUUGGCGGUCACUCUCUGUAUCAUGUUGCUGCUUCUUCUCGUUGCCUUCAAUAAUUAUUUACUUACUGCGAACAUCCUCAGCUGGGGUUCUGACGUGCAUCCCAUGUUCUGGACACAGGCAGGACCUGGAGGUGUGACCUUCUCCGCACUCCCAUCCCCCUUCUCUGCAUCUGCAGACACGUCUGCAUUCAUCACGCCUGUUUACCCUGGUUCUGUGAAGACUUGGUUCUCCCUCUUCCUGAGGCUGUAACGACUCCACUUGGACAUUCCUCUCGUUUACCUUCUUAGAGUCUCCCGUCCUUCUGGGAUUCUCAACAGGGCAGCAACCAUGCUCAUUUAACCCAUCCUUGGGUACAUGACACAUGGUGGGUGGUCAAAGCAAGUUUCUUUUUGCUUUUUAGGGCCACACCUGAGGCAUGUGGAAGGUCCCAGGCUAGGGGUUGAAUCAGAGCUGCAGCCACCGGCCUGCACCACAGCCACAGCAACUUGGGAUCCGAGCUGGGUCUGCGACCUACACCGCAGCUCACAGCAACGCCAGAUCCCCGACCCACGAGUAAAGCCAGGAAUUGAACCCGCAUCCUCAUGGAUAUGCAUCGGAUUCAUUUCUGCUGUGCCACAACGGGAACUCCAAAACGAGUUUCUCGAAUGAGAAAAUAAAUGCACUUCUUUUAUUGCAUUUUCAGCAGCACCCUCUCUACGAUGCUUUUCCCUCUUUUGCUCCUCAAUGUAAACAGUUCUGUCCUCGCGAAAAGCACAUGGAAGUGAACAAACUUUCUUUAACCUCCUCCACCUCUCGUCUGUGAGCAGCCUCUCUGCGUGGUUACAUGCAUGCUGUCUCCUCGACCUCUGCAGCCAGACGUCUGUCUGCAUCCUUUCACUGCGCCUUUGCCCUAAGGCCGGCAAGAGGUUUGCAGCUCUGAGCUCAGCAGGACAUCAGCAUAUUCUUCGGGUCUUAGUUUCCUCCAUUUCUCCGUGGAAUUUCACGCUGCGGUCACUUCCCUACCUGUACCGUAAGGUGUUGCCUUGACACGGGGCUUUGGUUUUCGUCUUAUCUCGCCGCUCUUGUCCUCCCACCAUGGAUUUAUCUCUUUCACGCGGGUGGGAUGGACUUGCUGCUUCUCUCUUUGUAGACUCUGGGUGAUCUCAUCCUACCCCUGCUUUCCCAGUUUCCUGAGCUCUGUCCAGCUGCACAUCUGCUCAUGCAGCUAUUCCCUGGAUGACCCAUAUAUGCUUCCAACUCCACGUGUCCCUCUGUGCACGCUCCACCCUGUCACCUGGGGAAACUUCCUUUUCUCCUUAAAUUUCCCGUUUCAGUGAAUGGCAAAGUCCUAAUAACAGCCUGUACUAGAAACUUUAGUCUUUUUUUUUUUUUUCUUCAACAUACUACACCCUGGAGUAUAGAGAACGAGGGAGGGAGGCCAGGGGAAGUUGCCCCCUGGGGACCACAGACUGGGCCCGACUGGCUCUCUGAGCAGGACAGGAAGUAGAAGAGGAAGCGCUUCACGUCAGGUGGUUUGAAGCUGUGGCUCUGAGAAAACAAAUCGCCUACGCCUUCCAAACAGUCUGUCUUUGGCCACGCUAAGUCAGAAUAAAAUGACUAAAUAUUAAAAAAAAAAACCCUUUAAACACAAGGCCUAAUAAGUCUUUUAUAUAACAGAGAAAAAGAGACGCCAGACCAAACAUUCAAAAGAAAACCAAAACUCUGGAAAUCACCUGUGAGCAGAUGGCUAUUUUAGAAACACGAUGGUAGGAAUGAAUCCAUGAAGCGCAAGCACAGUAAAAUGAUACGAAGAAGGAGCACGGAGCACGAGGUAUGGUCAAGAACACACUUGGAAAAAUUUCAUGAUCAAAAGGAAAGAAGAUUAAACAAAGUAAACAUGUUUAGGUAAAAUAAUAUAAGAAUAAUAACAUAUGUUUUAAUCUGCAGGGCUACCAUAAAGAAAGAAAGAAAGAAAAAAAAAAA
ensembl:lncRNA